AUGUGUUCUAUCAUCACAGGCAUAGAGAGGACACCAACCAGACUGGCUGGCUCUAACGCGUGGGCUCUCCCCACCGGGCUUGCCUGGGAUGACAGCAACCUUGGAAGACUGGCAGCACUCAGCAGGCAGCGGAGAAAGGCCCUCUUCAUGCCCCCACCCCACUCAGGAUGGUUUCUGUCACGAGCAGUCUCAGUUCUGAUUUCACACUGCCAGAAGGUUCCCUCUGCUGUUAACACGCACACCUGGCUGCCUUUGGCGACACGGCCUCGCUCAGUCCCUGCAGCUGUUGUGAUGCCCAUUUUAAAGCUGCCUGUUUUGCCUCUGAGUCUGCCACCGAUCCUGGAGCUGCCAGCCUUCUCUUUCUACAUAAGACACUAUUUUGCCCACAUCACCCACUGUUCGGGCACCUUGCAUGCCCCCAAACUGAUCUGCAUGGACCACAGGUGGUUGCUUUCUCCACUUCCCUCCUGCACACACACUCCACACCUGUUCCCACUGUAGGGCCUUUGGGCUUUGGCUGGCUGGGCGUUCCUGCUGUUUAUCUAAGCUUUCUCCUGGUCAGCUGCCCCUCCUGGAUGAAGCCAUUCCCAAAUGCCAGCAGCCUGGAUGCUUCCCCAUGAUCUGCCCCUGCAGACACACUCUCACCCAUCCCAGCCCUCUCUCUGCUGUCGUUAUUGUAGUGACCACUUAGGUGCAGGGCGAGAGAGCAAAAGAGCACUGGGUCAGGGCCGGCCCCUGGUGUUCUGGGCUGACAGGAGAGGUCUGAACCUGUACCUAGGGUAAUGGGGUGGGGGUGGGGGACAGGGUGAAUCAGGUAUAGUGGAGACAGAUCUUGGUGCUCGGCCCCCUUGGUUGCCGCCUGGGGUGCCCUACUUUUGGGGCACAGGAGCUGCUCCCCAGUGGGCAUGCCAGUUCUCACAUCCCCUAAGUGCACAGGUAAAUAUGAAGGUCACCUUUGUUCAAGUGACCCCAAAUGUAAAGUUUUCUCAGUAAAAUCUAUCAGAUUGUUUAUGACCAUGUAGACUUACAGGGAUCAAGCAAAACUAUUCAAAUUUCCUGUAUAUUUUAUUGAUUAAUUGGUUGCACACAAAUCCUAAGCAUCUCUUGAGACUGGAUUAUCUUGUGCUACUUUUCUUCCCUGUUAGGUCUGGCCCAGUCUGAGUACAGAGGUGCUUUGCACAGUCCAAGAACAGCCCCAUGAUGGGGGUAGGUGGGGGGUCCCCCAUGGUGGCAAGAACUGGGACCGAAGUUCUCCUGAGGAUCCAUGGGGUAGGCAAGGCAGGGGGUGGGGGUUGCUGGACAGAAUGCGUGCCCAGGCUUUUUCCCCAGGAAGUAAAUGGAUUGUUCUCCUUCAGACAGACCAGCCCUGGCUAGUUUCCCUGUGGUUUCCAGUCACGGCCAGUCCUGACUCACUCAUGUCCCCACGCUAAGGUUUCUGUAUUGGACCAGAGAGAGACAGCAAGAGACAGAGCCAGACAGAGCCAGAGAGACAGAGACAGAGAUAAACAGAUACAUGCAGACUGAGAGAGCCAGACCAAGAUAAAGUACUAGCCACAGAGACGCAGAGAGAGAGAGAGAGAGAGGUGGGGGGAGGGGGGGGACACACAGUCAUACCCACACAUACUCACAAUGCCAGCAAGAUCCUCAGCUGUUCAGAGACACGCACUGACACAGAGACCCCGGAGAAACACUCGGAGCCACAGACGCAGAGGCACAGAUGGGGAAAGGAAGACACAGCACCCAAGAGAGAAAGACUGAAAAUCUGCAGGAAACAUACAGACAACCAGCCCCUAUGAUUGCAAUAGCUGCACAGGGUGCUAAGCACAGGGCCUCCUCUGGCCUUUCACGUCUGGCAAGCCCCCACCGUCCUGAAAGACCACAUGAGGGAGGCUCUUCAUGAGUCUAAUAACUUCUCACCCAACCCCAGAUCCUGGCCCGGAAUGCUUUCUCAGAAAGGGCUUCUCGAAAUUUAGUUAAAGGCAUUCGGUCAUGGCUGGGAACACACCCUUCCCCCACCCCAGUGCAGAAUGAGGCUGCUCGGCCGCCAGCCUCUGCCUAUAGGGUGAGGUGGCUGAGCCCACAUGUAGGGAGAGCUCACGAGCUGCCCACGGCGGCCACGUGCUGAGUGUCCAGGGGAACAACUUGCAGCCCAGGAACUGUCCCCCAUUCCGAGAGGGCAGGAGAAAUGCCAAGACCCCAGAGCUGUGCCGGGCCACCUCUCAGCACCCCGGGAUCCUGGGCCCAACAGUAAAGGCAGGGAAGACAAAGGGGUGACUUGGGGAUCAUGGUCCCAACCAUGGCAUGGCUUGUCCUGUGUGUCUGUCUAUCUACAGCUGCUACCCCGAGGAAGCCAGGGGAAGGAGACGUUCCUCAAUACGAUGGGUAUAAAUAAACCUGGAGCCACAUGGGUUCA
ensembl:lncRNA